ensembl:lncRNA
AUGCAACAGAGUUCAAACUUAAACCAUGAUUUAACCAGGAUUAACAGUUUAUCCUUGUUGGUGCGUUCUCUUGUUUCAGUAAAUGAGCUGGAGCUUCAUGUGAGAGGACACACCCACUGGUCCUCAGUGUCCUCAGUGAGAUCACACCUGUUUACUUUAAUUACCUGGACCGACCUCAGUGUGGACGGAUGUGUCUUAGAGGAAACCUGCCUGAGUCGUGUUCCCAACAUGAAAAAACAAGUGAAAUUUGCAGAGAGUCAGACGAUCCACAGGCUCUAUCAGGACGAGGCUCUGCCGAGAAGCAACAGGAAGUCCAAAGAUGUAUUAAAAGAUGCCAGCAUGAACUCCAACAAUGGUUUGAAAACCAGCAGACCAGCAGCUGUGAGAUCUGAACCAGAACUCCAACACGUGACGACCAUAACAAUCCCCAAAACCAUGACAGGGAGCCCCAUUCCUGAAGCACUCAGCUCUGACGCCGGCUCAGAAGGAGUUUCUGUACACCAUUGCAGCUUCUUCCAGCACCACACACGUCCGAAACCUCAUCACACAACACUACAUGAACGUGCUGCACAGGUGUGUCCGCACAGGCCGCAACCCUGAAGGAGACGACGCUGUCGGGACUUCCUUACCAGAGACUAAUGAGGGGGAGAAACAUCGAUCUGAGGUUUCUUCUCGUGUGAAAAACAUGAAGAUAAACACCAGAGCAAAGAAUCCUGGGAAAUCAUUUCUUCCCAAAAUCCCCAACAGACAAACCAGGUGGGACUCAGAGUUUAACAGAUAUUAUAGGAGAAGGAGAACAUGUUUAAAUUUUGUUUACUGACAUCUCUCCUUGGAAAGAAAGAUGAAACAGAACUCUUAACCAACUUUAAUGAUCCACUUUGCAGGAUUUCCAACACAUCAGCAACCAAACAAAGAUCGAUGAAGAAAUCUACAACAACAUCACCAGCAGUGAGAAGGAAAAGUCCAAGAAGUAAGUACUUAGAUCGAGAAUAAAUAUGUUAUUGUAGCAGUCAUGUCAUGUUUUAGUUUCAUAUUUGUGUUUCUGUUUCCAGGAGUGUUGGAGGAGGAGGAAGGACUGACCGACUCUCUGAGUGACUGCCUGAGCUCGCUCUCUGUAGGAGAGUGGGAUGACGACGUCCUCUCAGAUUUAUGACAUUUCACACUCUCAUUUUUAUGAAACCUGAGAACAAUAUCGAAGAGGUUUCCUUCCCCUCUCUCUUCACCUUCCCCUCUCUCUUCACCUUCAUAGCUGCAGGUCAGACUUACAAACCUGUCGUCAUCUGUCAAAUAGGGGAUCUAAAUAAAGAAGUCUUCUCUGUUUACACUUCACCAUGUGUUGUACACUUUAGCGCCCUCCAGUGGCAGCAAGAGGAGAGUUUUUGUUCAUUUCAUUUCAAAGAAAUCACGUGUUCAGUUCUUAUCUCAGAGGAAAAGCAUGAGCUCAACUUCUGAAAGGUUUCCUUCAGUCAUUGACCUUUAAACAAAUGUUAUCUCCCAACAUGAAAUAUAAAUGAUGUUUCAAACACUUCUUUACAAUGCCGGGAAUGUAAUUGUUGACUAAUACUGAUAAAUGUGUAAUAUAAAGUUCUCUAAAAUUGUUUUGUAUUUAUUUCUGAUCAUUUCUCAUGUACUGUAUUUAGUCACAUUCAGGACGAUUCUUACACACUUUCUGACCAAACAAUCACAUUACACAUUUUUGACAUUUAUUUGGCUGCUAAAAC